rnacentral:miRNA from 1 species
GAUUGGCCAAAAUGUUUGCUUGGGUUUUUCAAGAUAUUAUGGAAAAAUCUGAACAAACUUUUUGGCCCAC